UACGUAGGGUGCGAGCGUUGUCCGGAAUUAUUGGGCGUAAAGAGCUCGUAGGCGGUGCGUCGCGUCGGCCGUGAAAACCUGCAGCUUAACUGUGGGCUUGCGGUCGAUACGGGCAUCACUGGAGUUCGGCAGGGGAGACUGGAAUUCCUGGUGUAGCGGUGAAAUGCGCAGAUAUCAGGAGGAACACCGGUGGCGAAGGCGGGUCUCUGGGCCGAUACUGACGCUGAGGAGCGAAAGCGUGGGGAGCGAACAGG
rnacentral:rRNA from 1 species